rnacentral:lncRNA from 1 species
UUACCUUCUCUUUAAUUUCCUAGACAGCAAAUCAUCGGGGGGAGAAAAAAGACCUUCCCAGGAUGUGGACUCCUUGCAACUCUAGCUGUUUCUGUCUCUUGAAUAACCUUUUUGUGUGUAUGGUCUGAGCAAAUCUUAGGCAGAACCAUCCACUCCUAUAUAUAUAUAUAUAUAUAUAUAUAUAUAUAAACCAAUCUUCACAGCACAAUUAAUGACCUCUCAAUCUUUCUUUCUUGUGCUUAUGUUCUUCUUCUUUGAUUCUCAUAUAUCAUGAGCAACAUACCAAGAUCUCUCACAGACUCUUCUUUUACCCUUU